rnacentral:siRNA from 1 species
AGAGCCCCGUCGUGCCCGGAC